CCAGCUCUGUGAUUUAGUGAUCCUUUGUUUAUAUGUGAUCCAAUAAACACCUGCAUGAGUGGAAGCAUGGCAAUCCAACUUUAGGACAAUCUGUCAUUCUUAAUUACAUUUUAGUGACUACAAAGCUUAUGUGAAGCUAAGGAUUUGCACAGUUAAGUUGAACUAACUUGUAGAUGCUCCUUAGUGAUCUUUCAGAGGGUGUUUUUAAAAAGAUGUCAAGCAUGCUUAGUCUCUGGACAGCUUAGCGUACCUCAGAAUUCAUCAGAUUUCAAAAAAAUUAAAAAGUUUUGCAGUGCUGUGAGAUGGGGAGAAAAGGCAGAGAAGAAGCCUUCUUUUCAAAAGGUAUAAGGAGCACAAAGUUUGGCCAUUGACCUUUAUUUGGAUUAGAGGAGAAGUGACAAAAGGCUGAAAGACAUUGAAAGAAAUCUGGCAGAUCCAUUUUAUUUACUAUGUGCUUGUUCCAGGAUUGUUGAUGACAGCUGCACUACUCUGAACAGGACUGGAAAUCUAAAUCAGAUGGAGAACGACAUUCCUGGAUUGGUGCCAUGAUCAGAAUUAAAAGUGUUGUGUGGCCAUAGGCACAGUGAGCCAAGCCACUGCAAAGUUGGAAAGGAACACAAAUGGGAUUGCCACCUGCCUGCCUGAAUUUUGUUUGCUGUUAGCAGCAGUUUUCUUGCUUUCUUUUUAGAAGUUUAGAGCAAUUAAAGCUUUUGGCAAUUAGAUGAAUGAUUUACUUUAACAAUAUAUGCACAGUAAGUGACUUUGGACUAUUUAUGUGCUGACAAAUGCAUUAAUUGAGGACAGGGGGAAAAUACUGUAUAAAAACACAAAUGAGUAUUUUGAAUACUUACAUUUCAGUGCCUAGUGGAAAACUUUCAGAAAAGAAUUUGGUGAAAACAGAAAAGAAACAUUGCACAUCUCUCCUCAAGUGUGAGGUGGAAAUCUUACAACUGCUUGUUGGCUUGUUGUAUUAUAGGUCACAGCAGCCUGUGGGCUUCUCUGAAAAAGCCUAUUAGAUUUUAUACUACUUGAUAUUGCCCUGUGGAUAGUGUUGAAAUGAGAUUUAUGUAUGAUAACAUAAUUGCCACAACUUACCUACGUGCUUCUAAUGUAGAGGAGUAAAUUCAUAAUGGUGGGUUUUGUGUGAUCAUGUCACCAUGUGUGUAGUCAUUUCCAAGGUCCCUUUCAACUCUGUUAAUGUUACUGUUACAUAGGAAUUCAGUCCAAAGAGAACAUGGUCCCCAACAGCUGCUUAAAAAUGUGUCAUGCCCCCUCAGAGCCUGAAUCUGCGGAAGAAGAUGAGCCAGAACUGGAGCAGAUGGAGAUCAAAGGGGCAGCUUUGUGGGUGUCAGAGGAACAUGGAGAGGAGCAGGCCAAGUCAGGCUAGGGCCUUUCAGGAUUGGGACACCUUGUAUGCAGGGAAGAAUGGGGGCAGGAUGACCAAGAGAGGCUAAGCAGUGAACAUGAGAGACAGAGUUCAGGCAAUGAGCAAGGACCACCCCCUCCUGAUCCUCAAGCAUGGAGAGUAGAGAGAAAGUAGGAACAGUGCAGGCUUACCCAACUACUCUGGAGGAGAGCGCCUACCCCACUCCAUGUGGGGAUUGAGAUUUAAGGAGACGCUGUGGGGGGGGGGCAUUUGUCAGAAACAAACACUGAAUAUUGUGUGCCAUUGCCAAUGUUGGAUGUUUCCUGGACUU